rnacentral:rRNA from 1 species
UCCGUAGGUGGAUAAUUAAGUCAGAGGUGAAAGUCUGCAGCUCAACUGUAGAAUUGCCUUUGAUACUGGUUGUCUUGAGUUAUUAUGAAGUAGUUAGAAUAUGUAGUGUAGCGGUGAAAUGCAUAGAUAUUACAUAGAAUACCAAUUGCGAAGGCAGAUUACUAAUAAUAUACUGACACUGAUGGACGAAAGCGUGGGGAGCGAACAGGAUUAGAUACCCUGGUAGUCC